CCAAUAGCGUAUAUUAAAGUUGUUGUGGUUAAAAAGCUCGUAGUUGAACCUUGGGCCUGGCUGGCCGGUCCGCCUCACCGCGUGUACUGGUCCGGCCGGGCCUUUCCCUCUGUGGAACCCCAUGCCCUUCACUGGGUGUGGCGGGGAAACAGGACUUUUACUGUGAAAAAAUUAGAGUGCUCCAGACAGGCCUAUGCUCGAAUACAUUAGCAUGGAAUAAUAGAAUAGGACGUGUGGUUCUAUUUUGUUGGUUUCUAGGACCGCCGUAAUGAUUAAUAGGGACAGUCGGGGGCAUCAGUAUUCAAUUGUCAGAGGUGAAAUUCUUGGAUUUAUUGAAGACUAACUACUGCGAAAGCAUUUGCCAAGGAUGUUUUCAUUAAUCAGGAACGAAAGUUAGGGGAUCGAAGACGAUCAGAUACCGUCGUAGUCUUAACCAUAAACUAUGCCGACUAGGGAUCGGACGGUGUUAUUUUUUGACCCGUUCGGCACCUUACG
rnacentral:misc_RNA from 1 species